rnacentral:rRNA from 1 species
AUUGAACGCUGGCGGCAGGCUUAACACAUGCAAGUCGAACGAGUGGCGGACGGGUGAGUAAUGCUUGGGAAUCUGGCUGAUGGAGGGGGAUAACUACUGGAAACGGUCGCUAAUACCGCGUACCAUAGGAUGAGCCCAAGUGGGAUUAGGUAGUUGGGGGGGUAAUGGCUCACCAGGGCGACGAUCCCUAGCUGGUCUGAGCGGAUGACCAGCCACACGGGGACUGAGACACGGCCCGGACUCCUACGUGAGGCAGCAGUGGGGAAUAUUGGACAAUGGGCGCAAGCCUGAUCCAGCCAUGCCGCGUGUCUGAAGAAGGCCUUCGGGUUGUAAAGGACUUUCGGCGGGGAGGCGGUACCCGCAGAAUAAGCACCGGCUAACUCCGUGCCAGCAGCCGCGGUAAUUC